rnacentral:rRNA from 1 species
GAUGAACGCUGGCGGCGUGCCUAAUACAUGCAAGUCGAGCGAACGGACGAGAAGCUUGCUUCUCUGAUGUUAGCGGCGGACGGGUGAGUAACACGUGGAUAACCUACCUAUAAGACUGGGAUAACUUCGGGAAACCGGAGCUAAUACCGGAUAAUAUUUUGAACCGCAUGGUUCAAAAGUGAAAGACGGUCUUGCUGUCACUUAUAGAUGGAUCCGCGCUGCAUUAGCUAGUUGGUAAGGUAACGGCUUACCAAGGCAACGAUGCAUAGCCGACCUGAGAGGGUGAUCGGCCACACUGGAACUGAGACACGGUCCAGACUCCUACGGGAGGCAGCAGUAGGGAAUCUUCCGCAAUGGGCGAAAGCCUGACGGAGCAACGCCGCGUGAGUGAUGAAGGUCUUCGGAUCGUAAAACUCUGUUAUUAGGGAAGACCAUAUGUGUAAGUAACUGUGCACAUCUUGACGGUACCUAAUCAGAAAGCAACGGCUAACUACGUG